CACCGCGGUUAGACGAGAGGCCCUAGUUGAUAUUACAACGGCGUAAAGGGUGGUUAAGGACAAACAAUUUUUUAAAGCCAAAUGGCCCCUUGGCCGUCAUACGCUCCUGGGAGCCCGAAGCCCUAUACACGAAAGUAGCUUUAAUAACCCACCUGACCCCACGAAAGCUGAGAAA
rnacentral:rRNA from 2 species